AUUGGUUCCCUUUAAUCCUAAAUUUGGGAAUCUAUUAGCAAACAGCUUUUUAUGACUAAGCAAUCUGUACAUUCUUGCUUUAUUCAUGUGGAAGGUAAAUGAUUUUUCAAGUAAAUGUGAUUGAACAUAAGAUGAUGUAUUAUGUUGCUUGUAAUCACACUAUGAUUUAAAUGACUUUGAGAGCAAUUUUUAUUUUGAAGUAUUCAAGACAACAGGUCAUCUUCUCAUAUCUGGUUGAAGGAUUUUAUUUCCUCCUCAGAAGUUUAGUAAAUUCUAGCCUCAAGAAAUGAACUCUUCCCAUCACCUAAUAUGCAUUUGGGUACUUUCUUAAUUUAAAAAACAAAAAAAACCCAGCAACUUGAUUAUAGUUUUUCUUGUAAACUAUCAUGUGUGUCUUUAGAACAUAGCAAUUUGAAUAGAAACACAUCUUUAAAGAAAUGCUUAAUGAAGUUGUUACUUAGAAAAUCAACUCUCUUAUUUCUAUUAAGACGUCUAAUUUAAUGUUUGUGGUAUAAAAUCUCAUAAAUCAGGAAUUUUUUUCUGUGAUGGAGUCAUUUUUCUGACAAAGUUUUCCAGGGUUACUGCUUGGUAGUUGAGUGAAGCUUUGCAAAAAAGGUGAUUGUUGAGUUCAGUCUUAAAAUGAGUGUGGGAGUCCAUCAGUCAGGUGGAGGACCCUGUCCAGAGAUUCAGUUCCUGAAUACAAUAGCUUGCCUGGGUGUGUGCAAGGAUCAGAUUGAACCAGCAAGGAAAUCUAGAACCAAGUCAGGGUCAGAGACUUCAUUUUGUGCUUGUAGCUCCUUUGCAUUUCUUGUUUAUUUAGAGACGGGGCCUCACUGAGCUGCUUAGGGCCUCGCUGAGUGGCUAAGGCUGGCCUCCAACUUGCGAUCCUCCUGCCUCAGCCUCCUGAGUGCAGGGUGCCUUGGUGGCCAGCAGCUGUAGAGUUUGGUGUUCAGCUCAUCCCUUCCCCCAUCAGGACCCCACAGGCAGCCCGCCAGCUUCAGGAUAGACCAUGUGGUCAGCCAUGGCUGUGCCCAGGCCCUGUCUC
rnacentral:lncRNA from 1 species